CAAACCUAACCUUAUCUCCAGCCGCCAUCCCACCCACCCACAGUCCAUCCACUGCUCGCACAGGUUCGUCGCCCUCCUCCCUCUUGGAUGCUCGCACAGGGUUUGUGUGUGGAGAAGGAGCUCGGUGAGGAAUCGAACGCAGCUCGACCCUACUCCCACACAAGAAGGGGCUCGGUGAGGAAUUAAAGGCAACACGACCCGCACAGGUUCGUCGCCUCACGUUCCCUCCCUCCCCUUCGUCCCUCCUGGAUCCCCUAUCAUCUCCAGUGAUUCUCGGUACUUAGAGGCCACCAGAUCUCCAGUCAGCAACGCCUCCGCCCGCCGGGGUGUUCUUUCUGGAUAAAAACAAUGGCGGAACGUGAGUGGAUGUCGAAGCAUUGCAUACCUGAGAAGGCUAGCAUUUUGAGCACAUAUGCUGCAAUGAAGUCUACAAUUAAUACAAUGGACAACAAUGGAGAAAGUGCUCCCAUUCCUCUCCAGAGAACACAACAAUUGCUGGAAUAUAAGUUUGGACCCAAGAAGGCUAGCACUUUGAACAUAUAUGCUGUAAUGAAGUCUGGAUUCAAUGACGUGGACAAUUCUCAGCCGUAGACCACAAAACCGUCUUGCAGUGGAGAACUUAGAUAUAUGUAGGUGCUAGGACUUAUGUACGUUAGCAACGACUGCGAUAUUCUUGCCUUUUAGCAUAAUGGUUGAACACUUUUUAAUCUGAUUGGAGUGUAGUUGUCGGACACUUUAAUUUGUAAUAUAUUUCAACUAAAUUAGUUGAAUAUAUUCAUGUAUUGGAACUUGAUUGUAUUUGUGCUGGAUUGUCAUAUCAUCAUGUGUCAGUUGAGUCUA